UACAGAGGUCUCAAGCGUUGUUCGGAUUCACUGGGCGUAAAGGGUGCGUAGGCGGUCGGGUAAGUCUGAUGUGAAAUCUCACAGCUUAACUGUGAAACUGCAUUGGAUACUAUCCGGCUCGAGGAAUGGAGGGGAGACUGGAAUACUUGGUGUAGCAGUGAAAUGCGUAGAUAUCAAGUGGAACACCAGUGGCGAAGGCGAGUCUCUGGACAUUUCCUGACGCUGAGGCACGAAAGCCAGGGGAGCAAAUGGG
rnacentral:rRNA from 1 species